CUACGGGGUGCUCCAGUGGGGAAUAUUGCACAAUGGACGAAAGUCUGAUGCAGCAACGCCGCGUGGAGGAUGACACAUUUCGGUGCGUAAACUCCUUUUAUAUAGGAAGAUAAUGACGGUACUAUAUGAAUAAGCACCGGCUAACUCCGUGCCAGCAGCCGCGGUAAUACGGAGGGUGCAAGCGUUACUCGGAAUCACUGGGCGUAAAGAGCGUGUAGGCGGGUAGUUAAGUCAGAAGUGAAAUCCAAUAGCUCAACUAUUGAACUGCUUUUGAAACUGAUUACCUAGAAUAUGGGAGAGGUAGAUGGAAUUUCUGGUGUAGGGGUAAAAUCCGUAGAGAUCAGAAGGAAUACCGAUUGCGAAGGCGAUCUACUGGAACAUUAUUGACGCUGAGACGCGAAAGCGUGGGGAGCAAACAGGAUUAGAUACCCCUGUAGUC
rnacentral:rRNA from 1 species